UACACUUAACAGUAAUCUUAGCCUUUCAUGUCGAUUGGCUCAGAUGUAUUUCUGGACAUUUCUGCUGCAACCUACACAUAUAAAAGGGUUUCUCAAAAUAAUAGAACCAUAUAGAUUUCGACCACCAUCAUAUAGGAUUCUGUACGGUCAAUGGCAGCCGUGAUUUCAGUUUGCGGUGUAGAGGAUGCAUUGUACAUAGGCUGUGUCUCAAAUUCUAGUGAGCAGCCUACCUAGACAACACACGUGGAAGCGUUGUGAGCAUUUGACUCGGUUGCGCCCUACUCGUCCCAAAACGCUGUCUAGGUAGGAAGCACACUAGGGUUUGAGCACAGCAUCUGUGAUGGUGAUUAUGAAGAAAGGUAGAGACGCUGCGGCUGAACAUCGGAUUUCUUCCACGACUGAGGGUCUGAUCUCUCUGUGAAGGUUUUCCAGGGAAGGGGUCUGCAGGCACUUGAAGAGGACCUUAGUGGGAACAACUGGAGCAGGGCUGGAGACCAUUCUCGUUGCACGCUGUGCACUUCAGGGCUUUGAAGGAGUCGGUGAAGCAGUUGCGAAACACAGACAUUUUGCUGCCAUGGCACAUAGGGCACGGGACAAAGGCAAAUCCCCCACACGUCUGGCACGUGUCGGAGUGCUGAACCCUCUACCAUCAGACAGAGGAACAGAGACAAGAAUUAUUUACAGUUACAAUAGUGGCGAUUUCUUAUAAAUGUAUAAAAUGUCAAUCAUACAAAAAAAGUAUGAGAUUGCAUAAAUUCAUAUGAGUUUGUGAAAAUGUACAAUUGUUUCAAAUUUGCCCCAACAUUAUGUUGAAAUUGUUGACAUUCACUAUGUUUGAGAAACCACUGUAUAGCAAAUUGUGCCUGCCAAAUGAAUAAAUGUAAUGUAAAUAAUAUUACUCACUGAUAAAUAAUGCAGUCUAUGUGUAAAGAGCUAUAAUUAACUUUAAUAAUAAACCUUUCUUGUAAAGUGGUUCUGUUUCCUUUUACAGAAUAAACUAUGAUAAUAAACCA